AUGGCUAACCAAGCUUUUCAACCUCAUUUUUCGGGCAAACAAGAUGCCAGAAGAAUGGAGACGGAGUAUAUUAGUACCAAUCUUCAAGAACAAGGGGAUGUUCAGAGUUGUACUAAUUACCGUGGAAUUAAGCUGAUGAGCCAUACAAUGAAGCUAUGGGAGAGAGUCAUUGAGCACCGCUUAAGAAGAAUGACAAGCGUGACCAAAAAUCAGUUUGGUUUCAUGCCUGGGAGGUCGACCAUGGAAGCCAUUUUCUUGGUACGACAACUUAUGGAGAGAUAUAGGGAGCAUAAGAAGGACUUGCAUAUGGUGUUCAUUGACUUGGAGAAGGCCUAUGAUAAGAUACCGCGGAAUGUCAUGUGGUGGGCCUUGGAGAAACACAAAGUCCCAGCAAAGUACAUUACCCUCAUCAAGGACAUGUACAAUAAUGUUGUGACAAGUGUUCGAACAAGUGAUGUCGACACCGAUGACUUCCCGAUUAAGAUAGGACUGCAUCAGGGGUCAGCUUUGAUCCCUUAUCUUUUUGCAUUGGUGAUGGAUGAGGUCAAAAGGGGUAUACAAGGAGAUAUCCCAUGGUGUAUGCUCUUUGCGGAUGAUGUGGUGCUAGUUGACGAUAGUCGGACGGGGGUAAAUAGGAAGUUAGAGUUAUGGAGACAAACCUUGGAAUCGAAAGGGUUUAGGCUUAGUAGAACUAAAACCGAGUACAUGAUGUGCGGUUUCAGUACUACUAGCUGUGAGGAGGAGGAGGUUAGCCUUGAUGGCUAG
rnacentral:rRNA from 1 species